AUGCAUGUCUAAGUUCACACUCUCGAACGGUGAAACCGCGAAUGGCUCAUUAAAUCAGUCGAGGUUCCUUAGAUGAUCCAAUUUACUUGGAUAACUGUGGUAAUUCUAGAGCUAAUACAUGCCAAACAGCUUUGACCCUCCGGGGAAAGAGCGCUUUUAUUAGUUCAAAACCAGUCGGGUUCGUCCCGUCCUUUGGUGACUCUGGAUAACUUUGUGCCGAUCGCACGGCCCCGAGCCGGCGACGCAUCUUUCAAAUGUCUGCCCUAUCAAAUGACGAUGGUACGUGAUCUGCCUACCAUGUUAGCAACGGGUAGCGGGGAAUCAGGGUUCGAUUCCGGAGAGGGAGCAUGAGAAACGGCUACCACA
rnacentral:rRNA from 1 species